rnacentral:rRNA from 1 species
CGUCUAUAUACGUAUAGCAUAUCAAUAAGCGGAGGAAAAGAAACUAACAAGGAUUCCCCUAGUAACGGCGAGUGAAGCGGGAAGAGCUCAAAUUUGAAAUCUUAAAGGGUUUCCCUUUACGAAUUGUAGUUUAAAGAAGUGUUUUCUGUUGGAGUUUUGGUAAAAGUUCUUUGGAAUAGGACAUCAUAGAGGGUGAGAAUCCCGUAUUUGACCAUUAUUUCCAACUUUGUGAUACAUUUUCAAAGAGUCGGAUUGUUUGGGAAUGCAGUCCAAAAUGGGUGGUAAAUUUCAUCUAAAGCUAAAUACUGGCGAGAGACCGAUAGCGAACAAGUACCGUGAGGGAAAGAUGAAAAGAACUUUGAAAAGAGAGUUAAACAGUACGUGAAAUUGUCAAAAGGGAAGCGUUUGACACCAGUGUUGUUUUCUCGAAAAUCAAUUAAAAAUGGCGGGAUUUUGUGUUGUAUUGACUUUAUCAGCUUUCUGCACUUUUUUCUUGUCUUUUUUAAUGCACUUUUCGUUUAACAAGUCAACAUCAAUUUCUUUUGUUGUAAAAGGGUCAUUGGAAGGUGGCUUUCUUUUCGGAGAAAGUGUUUAUAGCCUUUGGCCUCUGCAAUCGGAGAGAUUGAGGUCUGCAGCGUAGAUCCUUCUUGGAUUAGAUUCAUUUGUGCUAAGUUACAACCGUUUAUAGACAACUUGUUGACUAUAUUCGAUCCUGUAGCUUACUCGCUUAUGUAAUUUUACCUACGCUUAGGAUGUUGACGAUCAGCUGAGCGCG